rnacentral:lncRNA from 1 species
GGUCGCUUCUCGCAGGCGGCGCGCUUGCUGGGUCACAGUGAGGCGGCUCCGCGCAGGCGCAGCCGGGCGGGCGAGGAGCGGGGAAGCUGACUCAGGGCUGCGGCCGGGGUCCUGCGGGGUAGGAGCGCGAGGCCGGCCUGAGGGAGGAGGCCUAGCGACCCAUCCGGCGCCUCCCGCCCCGGGCACCCGCCCGCGGCCGCGCAUCCUGCGGGCCCCAGGAGGCCUCCAUCUCAAAACAACGUGUUUUUAGAGAACUCAAGGGCUGUGAAAAGAGCAGGACCUCACCAGCUGCACGGCGGUGGUGACUGGCUCCAUCUUGCUGUCCCUCCCAAUCACACAACAUCUCCCCUUGAAGGCUCUGCCCAGGCCCGGACUCCCACCUUUCAAGAUGUCUGGAUCAGUGCAGGACCUCCUCCUUGGCCACAUCGCUCUCCUUGGACUGGAUCUCAUCCACUAUCACAGUUUCAGCUUUCCCCAAACUGGAAUGUGUCUUUGCAGACGCCCAUCCUUAUUAAAGGGCAAAGACUUCUCAUACACCUAGGAUGGAUCUUAUAUUCUUGGCGGGACUGCAGAGAAGGUGCCGUGUCCUGAGUCCUCAUGUCAGGGCACAGGCUUCCAGCCAGUUCUACCUGGGUUAUGUUUAUCUCAAUUCCCUGGUGGUAUUGGUGUCUGCUGGGUUUUGCCAGAAUGAAGACACCGUGUUUUCAUUUGUCAGUUGAUUCGUAUUUUCCAGGAAGACAUUCUGAGAUUACAGCAUUGUCUUAGUCAAGGUGCUGCAGAAGGACAGAACUAAUAGGAUAUAUGUACAUAUGAAAGAAAGUUUAUGAAGAACUGGCUCACACCAUCACAAGGCAAAGUCCCAUGACAGGCCAUCUGCAAGCUGAGGAGCGAGGAAGCCAGCAGUGGCUCAGCCGGAGUCCAACAGCCUCAAACGGAAUCCAACAGUUCAGGCUUCAGUCUGUGGCCAAAUGCCCAGAGACCCCGGAAAGCUACUGGUGUUAGUCCCAGAGCCGGAAGGCCAAAGAACCUGGAGUGUGAUGUCCAAGGGCAGGAGGAAUGGACAGAAGCAUCCAGCAUGGGGUAAAGACGAAAGCCAGAAGACUCAGCAAGCUAGCUUACCUACUUUCUUCUGCCUGCCUUGUUCUAGCCGCGCUGGCAGCCGGUUGGAGGGUGCCCACCCCCACUGAGGGUGGAUCUUCCUCUCCUAGUCCACUGACUCAAAUUUCAGUCUCUCUGGGAGCACCAUCACACCAGAAACAAUACCAGCCAUCUAGCCACCCUUCAGUUCACCAUCACAACCAUUGUCUUAUUCAUGAAACUUCUGCAGACCCACCUUAACCUCCAUCGGUGACUUCUACCUGAAGCCCUCUGAUUGUUGCCCAGUGGUGCUUUUUAAAAUAAUUUCCAUAGUUUCUUCUACACCUUUAGUUGGCAUUCUACUGUAAAGGAGAGAUUUUAUUUUCUUACUCAUUUAUUUGUUAGUUUAUAGUCACCACCAUAUGGAUGCAGAGUUCUGUCUCAUUCACUGGGAAGUAUUCUAUUGCAGUCAUGAUUUAUUUUGAUGUUCACAUCCCAGAGUUGGUGAGUGAGCGCCCCUUCACGCUGGCUCCCGAGUGCUGACGUGUCCCCGUCCUUCUCUGCACUUUUCCUUACCUCCUGGCCUCAGAUAUUCCAGGGUCAUUUGUUCUCUCCCUGCUCCAACCCUGCAGUCAGCCAUCUCCCUAGGGACGUUGGUUCCUUUAUGGAAGGUGGCAUUUAGAAGCCAGGAUUUGGGCUGAGCACUGUGGCUCAUGCUUGUAAUCCCAGCACUUGGGGAGGCCGAAGUGGGCGGAUCGCUGGAGGCCAAGAGUCUGAGACCAGCCUGGCUAACAUGGUGAAACCCUUCCCCGUCUCUACUACAAAUAAAAAAUUAGCUGGGUGUGUUGGCACGUGCCUGUAAUCCCAGUUACUCAGGAGGCUGAAGCACCAGAAUCUCUUGAACCCAGGAGGCCGAGGUUGCAGUGAGCCAAGAUUGCACCACUGCACUACAGCUUGGGUGACAGCGCGAGACACCGUCUCAAAAAGGAUAAUAAUUUAAAAAACAGCAGGAUUUGGGUGAGCAGUGCGCUCAUUGCUUCUGGGCUCUCUCGGUGGACAUAGGCUAGGAAUGUAAGAUGUAUGUGCCUGUGUAUAUACACACGUCUGUAGCUAUGUCUAUGUUGCAUACAUGUGUUUUUCCAAAAACCAAAUCCAUAACCAUG